GUGUAUAAUGGAGUUUAAAAUAAGAAGAGCUAAAUAAUUUUAAAAAGAAAGUAUGAUUAAUGUACACAGAGUACACAAAAAAACACAAGAAAAAUGAUUUUAAAAUGCUACAAAAUCUUCUGAAUAUUUUAAGACAGUAUAACUGGUUUGGGUUUUACGGGAGGAAGCUCUCAAGGCAAUGGAAAAUGCACCACACGUCUCACCACACAUAUCAGCGGCACGUUUUCAGUGAUAAAUAAAAAUAAAUACAUAAAUGUGGUACACAUUUGCCUAAUGUGCCUAAUAUUUGAAUAAUUGAGUCUCGUCCAUUAAAUAUUUGUGCUGUGAUCAUAAGGGGAUCUGUCUGUUUUUUUAACAACUGAAGAAGUCCAUAGUUGCAAAAACAUUUAAAAUCCCUGAUGUAAAUAAAUAACAUCUAUACAGUGUGGUCAUAAAUUUACAUACACCUUGCAGAAUCUGCAAAAUAUUUAUAAUUAAAAAAAAAUAUUACAAGUAUCAUUAAAAAUGUCCCAAAAAAAAAAAAAA